UUCCGUGGGAGAUCUUAGGGUCAGCAUUGCGGGUGCUGCUCUCGGGGCGGCCGGAGGGAGAGCGGGGUGUGGAUCCCCACAUCUGUACAUCCCCGGGAGUGGCAUCUCCUCCCUUCCCGCGGGAUGAGAGGGGCAGCCGGGGCUGGGACCCGCGGUGCCGAGGUGGGGCUGCUGUGAACUCCACCCGGGAAUAGCUCCCGAUGACACUCAGGGUGCCACCUCUGAGCUCGGAUCAGGGUUUGUUUUGCUGUCGUCGUCUCCUGUUUCAGCUCCAGGCUUUCUUUCCAUUCGUGCUCCUGUGGUGUCUGAGCUGCUUCAUGAGGAAUUUCUGUCCAUGUCCUGCCAGAUGGAAUCGGGACAUCAUUUGCUGGAGGAAUGGGAAAGAAAGUAGAAAAUACUUCAGGUCAUCUCCCCCACCACCAGUUCCCAGCCAGAAACAGCUCUAGAGGAUGACCUUGGGGAGGAAUAUGAAGAUCCUGGUGGAGCUUGCCAGCGAGGAGCAUGGCCCCAGGCAAGGGAGGAUGGCUGGGAUGUGUCAGGAAGAGAUCCCACCUUUCUGCACCCAGGAGCCCACUGAAAAUCCUGUUGGAUCAUGGUGAAAAACAUGUUCUUUCCCCUUAGUGGAAGACCCACCUUGUUCCGGGAAUUAUGGGAAAAGAGUGCAAAAAUCCGGAAGGGGUUUUUAACUUUGUUUUAAGAAGUACUUCCCCCCCUUGCCAUCCUGCUGACAAAGACCCUUUUAGGAUUCUGUGAUUCUACGAGCAUUUACAGCAAACUGCAGGGGUGCAGCAUCUCACUGGCUCCUUCCACACCUGGAGAGAUCCAGGGGCUGGUGUAACCAUUCUUACAGCCCCUGGAAGUUAUUCUGGAAUUUUCUGGCUUAUACCAUGCGGAUCUGAGCUGAUCCUUGCAAA